AUUGAACGCUGGCGGCAGGCCUAACACAUGCAAGUCGAGCGGAGCGGCGGACGGGUGAGUAAUGCCUAGGAAUCUGCCUGGUAGUGGGGGAUAACGUCCGGAAAAGGGCGCUAAUACCGCAUACUAUCAGAUGAGCCUAGGUCGGAUUAGCUAGUUGGUGGGGUAAAGGACUACCAAGACGACGAUCCGUAACUGGUCUGAGAGGAUGAUCAGGCACAAUGGAAAUGAGAAACGGUCCAGAAUCUUAAGAGGGGCAGCAGUGGUGAGUGUUGGACAAUGUGCGAAAGCCUGAUACAUCCAAGUCACGUGUGUGAAGAAGGUCUUCGGGUUGUAAAGCACUUUAAGUUGGGAGGCGUUACCAACAGAAUAAGCGCCGGCUAACUUCGUGCCAGCAGCCGCGGUAAUAC
rnacentral:rRNA from 1 species